GCAUUGGCGGUUCAGUGGUAGAAUUCUCGCCUGCCAUGAGGGCGACGCGGGUUCGAUUCCCGGCCAAUGCA
rfam:Angiostrongylus cantonensis strain Taiwan genome assembly, scaffold: ACAC_scaffold0004672